AGAGUUUGAUCCUGGCUCAGGACGAACGCUGGCGGCGUGCUUAACACAUGCAAGUCGAACGAUAUUCAUCGGGAAAGUUUUUCGGAAUGAUCCUGGUGAUGAAAGUGGCGAACGGGUGAGUAACGCGUGGGCAACCUGCCUUAAACUGGGGGACAACACCGGGAAACUGGUGCUAAUACCGCAUAAGACAACAGUAAGACAUCUUACAGUUGGAAAAGGAUGUAAAUCCGGUUUAAGAUGGGCCCRCGUCUGAUUAGCUAGUUGGUAGGGUAACGGCCUACCAAGGCGAUGAUCAGUAGCCGAACUGAGAGGUUGAUCGGCCACAUUGGGACUGAGACACGGCCCAGACUCCUACGGGAGGCAGCAGUGGGGAAUAUUGCGCAAUGGGGGAAACCCUGACGCAGCAACGCCGCGUGAAGGAUGAAGGCCUUUGGGUUGUAAACUUCUUUGAUUGGGGAAGAAAGAAAUGACGGUACCCAAAUAACAAGCCACGGCUAACUACGUGCCAGCAGCCGCGGUAAUACGUAGGUGGCARGCGUUGUCCGGAUUUACUGGGUGUAAAGGGCGUGUAGGCGGAGCUGUAAGUCAGAAGUGAAAUCCCCGGGCUUAACCCGGGAACUGCUUCUGAAACUGCGGUUCUUGAGUACUGGAGAGG
rnacentral:rRNA from 1 species